rnacentral:rRNA from 1 species
AGUGAACGCUGGCGGUAGGCCUAACACAUGCAAGUCGAACGGCAGCACAGUAAGAGCUUGCUCUUACGGGUGGCGAGUGGCGGACGGGUGAGGAAUACAUCGGAAUCUACUUUUUCGUGGGGGAUAACGUAGGGAAACUUACGCUAAUACCGCAUACGACCUACGGGUGAAAGCAGGGGAUCUUCGGACCUUGCGCGAUUGAAUGAGCCGAUGUCGGAUUAGCUAGUUGGCGGGGUAAAGGCCCACCAAGGCGACGAUCCGUAGCUGGUCUGAGAGGAUGAUCGGCCACACUAGAGCUGAACCACGGUCCAGACUCCUGCGGGAGGCAGCAGUGGGGAAUAUUGGACAAUGGGCGCAAGCCUGAUCCAGCCAUACCGCGUGGGUGAAGAAGGCCUUCGGGUUGUAAAGCCCUUUUGUUGGGAAAGAAAGGCAGCAGGUUAAUACCCCGCUGUUCUGACGGUACCCAAAGAAUAAGCACCGGCUAACUUCGUG